rnacentral:rRNA from 1 species
GACGAACGCUGGCGGCGUGCCUAAUACAUGCAAGUAGAACGCUGAAGGAGGAGCUUGCUCUUCUGGAUGAGUUGCGAACGGGUGAGUAACGCGUAGGUAACCUGCCUGGUAGCGGGGGAUAACUAUUGGAAACGAUAGCUAAUACCGCAUAAGAGUAGAUGUUGCAUGACAUUUGCUUAAAAGGUGCAAUUGCAUCACUACCAGAUGGACCUGCGUUGUAUUAGCUAGUUGGUGGGGUAACGGCUCACCAAGGCGACGAUACAGAGCCGACCUGCGAGGGGGGUCGGCCACACUGGGACUGAGACACGGCCCAGACGGCUACGGGUGGCAGCCGUAGGGAAUCUUGGGCAAUGGACGGAAGUCUGACCGAGCAACGCGGCGUGCGGGAAGAAGGUUUUCGGAUCGGAAAGCUCUGUUGUAAGGGAAGAACGAGUGUGAGAGUGGAAAGUUCACACUGUGACGGUAUCUUACCAGAAAGCGACGGCUAACUACGUG